rnacentral:rRNA from 1 species
UACGUAGGGGGCGAGCGUUGUCCGGAUUUAUUGGGCGUAAAGAGCUCGUAGGCGGUUUGGCAAGUCGGGUGUGAAAACUCCGGCUCAACUCGGAGACGCCACUCGAUACUGCCAUGACUCGAGUCCGGUAGGGGAGUGCGGAAUUCCUGGUGUAGCGGUGAAAUGCGCAGAUAUCAGGAGGAACACCGGUGGCGAAGGCGGCACUCUGGGCCGGUACUGACGCUGAGACGCGAAAGCGUGGGGAGCGAACAGG